AGAAAACUGGGUGUUUUUCUCUCUUUUUUUUUAAUCAGAGGAAUCAUCUGAGACCAAACAAGCCUCCCCACCACUCCCCCUUCCUGUGGACCCAACUUCCUUCUGAUCCACUGUUGGCUUCCCCUCGCCUAAGCUCUGUGGUCUAAGCAGAACCCUCUUGACAUGGUGAGGAGCCCAAGCUCUGCCCCACAGCACUGGGCCAAGCACACAACUGCCCUGCCACGGCACUGGGAGCAGAGAGGGUCCUCUGGAUUUGGGGACGGGUAGCAGCUGCAAGACAAAAGUGCCCACAAAGUGUCACCGUUUAUAACGGACCAACACGACACAGCCGUGCUCGGCGUGCAAAGCCUCGACUUUCAGAAAGGACAUGUAUAAAGCGCCCACUGCCUAUGUUGGCAGCGCAGUGUCAGAGGAGGCUGACGGAACAAAGGGACACAGGUGGCACUUCUGUCGGACCCUGCAGGAUGUGUGUGAAGAGACGCUUCUGAGGCACUGAAUGAUCUUGGAUAGCUUCGGAACCGGCAAGGAAAGGCCAUGUGAUGCUCAGCAUGGUUUUAGUUUUAAGUGUAUCUUACUUAAUAUUUUCAAUAUGAGUCAGCUCCAUAUACUGGGCUGAUUCUCAAACAACCAGAAGUUGACUAAAGCUGCCUUUAGAUAGGAAGCAUGGGUACAGCGUCCAGCUGCUUCCACCCUGGAAGCAGGUCUGAGGCCAGGGGUCCCGGAUUCUCGGUGGCCCCAGACUGUUGGAUUACAGACAACACCCUCCUCGCCCCCUGCUUUUCCUGACUCUCCUCUCCUGAUGGAGGCGAAGGCGCCCCCCUCAGCCACGCACUCCUCAAAGCAGCUGCUCCGCCUGAUACACCUGCCCGGGAUGUGUACACCUCGAAUAAGUUGAGCAACUGGCCAUCCUUCCUAUCUUCCAGGUUGACUCGUACUCUGAAAGAAACACAGAACGUGUGGCCAAACAGAAGCUCCUACCAGAAAAAGGCAAGGAUGGAGCAGACGCAAACUCAUGCUGAGCUUGGGGGUUGCUGGGCAAUUCCUGCGGUGGAGGGCACAGCCCCGGGGCCUGUAACCAGGGACAUAUGCAUGGUGCCCUGCCAGACCGACAUGAGCUCAAAUUCCCCAGGUACCAUUUAUGAACUGCCUGACCUUGGGCUAGUCAUUUGACCUUGCUCAGCCUCAAUGUCCCCAGCAUCACAUCUACUUCAUUGGGUUGCCACCAGGAUGGACUGAGAUGCUGCGUAUAAAGGGCCAGCGUGUUAUAAGCCCCCACCACAUGGUAGAGAUCCCGCUGCUGCCCGUGAACCUUUCUGCCCUUAAAAAGUUUUUACCUGUUUGCAAAUUAACACUCUCC
rnacentral:lncRNA from 1 species